GAUGAACGCUGGCGGCGUGCCUAAUACAUGCAAGUCGAGCGAAUGGAUUAAGAGCUUGCUCUUAUGAAGUUAGCGGCGGACGGGUGAGUAACACGUGGGUAACCUGCCCAUAAGACUGGGAUAACUCCGGGCAACCGGGGCUAAUACCGGAUAACAUUUUGAACCGCAUGGUUCGAAAUUGAAAGGCGGCUUCGGCUGUCACUUAUGGAUGGACCCGCGUCGCAUUAGCUAGUUGGGGAGGGAACGGCUCACCAAGGCAACGAUGCGUAGCCGACCUGAGAGGGUGAUCGGCCACACUGGGACUGAGACACGGCCCAGACUCCUACGGGAGGCAGCAGUAGGGAAUCUUCCGCAAUGGACGAAAGUCUGACGGAGCAACGCCGCGUGAGUGAUGAAGGCUUUCGGGUCGUAAAACUCUGUUGUUAGGGAAGAACAAGUGCUAGUUGAAUAAGCUGGCACCUUGACGGUACCUAACCAGAAAGCCACGGCUAACUACGUGCCAGCCGCCGCAGUAA
rnacentral:rRNA from 1 species